GGUCCCGCCUGCCCUGUGACCCCUGGUUUAACGGCCGCGGUAUUUUGACCGCGCGAAGGUAGCGCAAUCACUUGUCCUUUAAAUGGGGACCUGUAUGAAUGGCAUAACGAGGGCUUAACUGUCUCCUUUCCCCGGUUAAUGAAAUUGAUCUUCCCGUGCAGAAGCGGGAAUCCUAACAUAAGACGAGAAGACCCUAUGGAGCUUUAGACCUUAGAGCAGAUCAUGUUUUGUUAUCCCAUUAAGCAAGUAAUAACUAUUGAACCCCUGUUCUACUGUCUUUGGUUGGGGCGACCACGGGGAAGAAAAAAACCCCCACGUGGACUGGGAGCACACUACUCCUUCAACUACGAGCCACAGCUCUAAUGCGCAGAAUCUCUGACCAUAAGAUCCGGCAAAGCCGAUCAACGGACCGAGUUACCCUAGGGAUAACAGCGCAAUCCCCUUUAAGAGUCCAUAUCGACAAGGGGGUUUACGACCUCGAUGUUGGAUCAAGACAUCCUAAUGGUGCAGCCGCUAUUAAGGGUUCGUUUGUUCAACGAUUAAAGUCUU
rnacentral:rRNA from 1 species